rnacentral:rRNA from 1 species
GACGAACCGUCCAAACGUUAUUCGGAAUCACUGGGCUUACAGAGUUCGUAGGCGGUCUGGAAAGUUGGGUGUGAAAUCCCUCGGCUCAACCGAGGAACUGCGCUUGAAACUACCAGACUCGAGGGAGAUAGAGGAAAGCGGAACUGAUGGUGGAGCGGUGAAAUGCGUUGAUAUCAUCAGGAACACCGGUGGCGAAGGCGGCUUUCUGGGUCUUACCUGACGCUGAGGAACGAAAGCUAGGGGAGAAAACGGG